rnacentral:lncRNA from 1 species
ACCACAUCCCCGCCCAGCCCUUAUACACCUCGCACACCCAGCCCCUGGUUGCUUUCUAGCCAUUGUUAUAGACAGCCCAGCGGCUGUGUCCCUUAAUAAAAGCCCCGCUUUGAGUGUACUUGUUUUGGCUCAUUUUAUUUCUCUCAUGCAGAAUGUAUAACUGCACGGCCUGGGAAGUUUUUCUCUUCUGCUCCGGAGGGGGUCUGACACAUUUAAGAGCCUCGAUGCAAUCAAGAGCGCGUAUCCACUUUAAGAUUCUCACAGGUUCCACUCCACGCCAUGGUGUGGGCUGUUGUACAAGAGUUGAAUGCUUUGUAGUUAUUUCUGCUUUUUAAAGAAAAUGAAAAUGCAUUCCAGGACUAGUAAUUUCAAAGCAAGGACCACGUACGUUGUGGCUGUCUUCCGUCUGUGCCCAACUAACCGCCAACCUCAGGGCCAUUAACCAGGACUCUCGCUACUGCUCUGCAGAGCAGCGUGGCAGGAGGUACAGGCGCUGCUUCCGGAGCUCGCCAACACUUCCGCACGCUACACAGCGGCGCUCUUCCCUUCCCGCCAGCCUCUGGCUUGCGCAAGCGUCAGGAGGCAGGGCUAGUGCUCGGCCGCCCUGACCCCGAGGGGGUCCAUACGUCACUGCGCCGCGCCGGGCACUAUUUUUCAUACAGUUACCCGCCUCCCGGAAGGAAAUCCGUGAUCAUGGCGACCGCGGCGGAGCAGUGGGUACUGGUGGAGAUGGUACAGGCGCUUUACGAGGCUCCUGCUUACCAUCUUAUUUUAGAAGGAAUUCUAAUACUGUGGAUAAUCAGACUUCUUUUCUCUAAAACAUACAAAUUACAAGAACGAUCUGAUCUCACAAUCAAGGAAAAGGAGGAAUUGAUUGAAGAGUGGCAGCCAGAACCUCUGGUUCCUCCUAUCUCCAAAGAUCAUCCUGCUUUCAACUACAACAUCGUUUCAGGCCCUCCAAGCCACAAGAUUGUGGUGAAUGGGAAAGAAUGUAUAAACUUCGCUUCCUUUAAUUUCCUUGGAUUGCUGGAUAGCCCUCGGGUUAAGGUAAGUAGCACAUAGUGCUGAAGUUGGUCGAUAACCUUACUCACUUAAGAAACAAGACAUAAAGUAAAAGACAAAUGUGGACUAUCAGAGAGGGCUGUGUUAAGUAUUUCCCAUUACUCCUUGACAGAGUUGAAACCUGGACUUAAGCAAGACAAGAGUACCUAAUGGGGCUUAGUAUUAGGUGAUAGAGAACCCAGUAA